rnacentral:rRNA from 1 species
UUUCGGCGUUGACUCCAUUGAACCGCAGGCUUCACCCCUUGUGGUGCUCCCCCGCCAAUUCCUUUAAGUUUCAUACUUGCGUACGUACUUCCCAGGCGGCAAACUUAACGGCUUCCCUGCGGCACUGCACUGGCCAAAAGCCAGUGCAUCACCGAGUCUGCAUCGUUUACAGCUGGGACUACCCGGGUAUCUAAUCCGGUUUGCUCCCCCAGCUUUCAUCCCUCACCGUCGAACGUGUUCUGGUAGACCGCCUUCGCCACAGGUGGUCAUCAAGAGAUCAAAGGAUUUUACCCCUUCCUCCCGAGUACCGUCUACCUCUCCCACUCCCUAGUUCUGCAGUAUUUCCGGCAGCCCAUUAGUUGAGCUAGUGGAUUUAACCGGAAACUUACAGAACCGGCUACGGAUGCUUUAGGCCCAACAAUCCUCCUGACCACUUGAGGUGCUGGUUUUACCGCGGCGGCUGACACCAGAACUUGCCCACCCCUUAUUCAUCAGUGGUUUUAGAACUAACAAAAGAUUCCUUUAGCAGGAAACACUCGGAUUAACCUUGUCGUGCUUGCGCACAUUGCAAAGGUUUCUCGCCUGCUGCGCCCCAUAGGGCCUGGGUCCGUGUCUCAGUACCCAUCUCCGGGCUUCUCCUCUCAGAGCCCGUACCUGUAAUAGCCUUGGUGGGCCAUUACCUCACCAACAAGCUGAUAGGCCGCAGUCCCAUCCUAUGGCGACGAAUCAUUUGGACCAUAAACCGUUCCAGGCAUUAUGAUCUAUCGCGGAUUAUUCUCAGUUUCCCGAGGUUAUCCACGUCCAUAGGGCAGAUUGACUACGUGUUACUGAGCCGUAUGCCUUGUAUUGCUACAAUGACUCACAUGGGCUUAGUACNAAUCCGAUAGCAGUCAGGU